GGUAUCGCCGUUAGUCAUGUGCAAAUAUGGAUAGCUGUUUUAGCCGUCUUUAUUGACUGGUUUAUAAGAGUUAUCAGAUAUCACUUUGAUUAAAUUAGAGUGCCUAAAGCAAGUGUGUUACUUGGAUAUAAAUGCAUGGAAUGAUGGAAUAUGUUGUUAUUCUAUUUGUUGGUUUUUGAAUGAUAAAAUGAUUGAAAGGAACUGUUGGGGGCAUUCGUAUUGUUGUGAGAGAGGUGAAAUUCUUAGACCACAGCAAGACGAACUACUGCGAAAGCAUUUGCCAAGAAUGUUUUCAUUGAUCAAGAACGAAAGUUAGAGGUUCGAAGGCGAUCAGAUACCGCCCUAGUUCUAACCAUAAACUAUGCCAACUAGCAAUUUGCUUUGUAUUUUUUAUGACUAAGUGAGAGGCCACGGGAAACCUAAGUAGGGUUAUGGGGGAAGUAUGGUUGCAAAGCUGAAACUUAAAGGAAUUGACGGAAGGGCACCACCAGGAGUGGAGCCUGCGGCUUAAUUUGACUCAACACGGGAAAACUUACCUGGUCCUGACACUAGAAGGAUUGACAGAUUGAUAGCUCUUUCUUGAUUUGGUGGAUGGUGGUGCAUGGCCGUUCUUAGUUGGUGGAGUGAUUUGUCUGGUUAAUUCCGAUAACGAACGAGACUCUAGCCUAUUAAAUAAUACACGGAAUUUUAUCUUCCGCGGUAUUUCUUAGUGGGAUCAAGCG
rnacentral:rRNA from 1 species